GAAUUCGCCCUUAGAGUUUGAUCCUGGCUCAGGACGAACGCUGGCGGCGUGCUUAACACAUGCAAGUCGAACGGAGCACCCCUGAAAGAGUUUUCGGACAAUGGAAGGGAAUGCUUAGUGGCGGACUGGUGAGUAACGCGUGAGGAACCUGCCUUCCAGAGGGGGACAACAGUUGGAAACGACUGCUAAUACCGCAUGAUGUGUUUCGAUGGCAUCAUCGAGACACCAAAGAUUUAUCGCUGGAAGAUGGCCUCGCGUCUGAUUAGCUGGUAGGCGGGGUAACGGCCCACCUAGGCGACGAUCAGUAGCCGGACUGAGAGGUUGACCGGCCACAUUGGGACUGAGAUACGGCCCAGACUCCUACGGGAGGCAGCAGUGGGGAAUAUUGGGCAAUGGGCGCAAGCCUGACCCAGCAACGCCGCGUGAAGGAAGAAGGCUUUCGGGUUGUAAACUUCUUUUAAGAGGGAAGAGCAGAAGACGGUACCUCUUGAAUAAGCCACGGCUAACUACGUGCCAGCAGCCGCGGUAAUACGUAGGUGGCAAGCGUUGUCCGGAUUUACUGGGUGUAAAGGGCGUGCAGCCGGGAAGACAAGUCAGAUGUGAAAUCCCGCGGCUCAACCGCGGAACUGCAUUUGAGACUGUUUUUCUUGAGUACCGGAGAGGUCAUCGGAAUUCCUUGUGUAGCGGUGAAAUGCGUAGAUAUAUGGAAGAACACCAGUGGCGAAGGCGGCUCUCUGGUCUGCAACUGACGCUGAGGCUCGAAAGCAUGGGUAGCGAACAGGAUUAGAUACCCUGGUAGUCCAUGCCGUAAACGAUGAGUGCUAAGUGUUGGGAGGUUUCCGCCUCUCAGUGCUGCAGCUAACGCAUUAAGCACUCCGCCUGGGGAGUACGACCGCAAGGUUGAAACUCAAAGGAAUUGACGGGGGCCCGCACAAGCGGUGGAGCAUGUGGUUUAAUUCGAAGCAACGCGAAGAACCUUACCAGGUCUUGACAUCCAGUGCAAACCUAAGAGAUUAGGUGUUCCCUUCGGGGACGCUGAGACAGGUGGUGCAUGGCUGUCGUCAGCUCGUGUCGUGAGAUGUUGGGUUAAGUCCCGCAACGAGCGCAACCCUUGUCAUUAGUUGCCAUCAUUAAGUUGGGCACUCUAAUGAGACUGCCGGUGACAAACCGGAGGAAGGUGGGGAUGACGUCAAGUCAUCAUGCCCCUUAUGACCUGGGCUACACACGUGCUACAAUGGACGGUACAACGAGAAGCGAACCUGCGAAGGCAAGCGGAUCUCUUAAAGCUGUUCUCAGUUCGGACUGUAGGCUGCAACUCGCCUACACGAAGCUGGAAUCGCUAGUAAUCGCGGAUCAGCACGCCGCGGUGAAUACGUUCCCGGGCCUUGCACUCACCGCCCGUCA
rnacentral:rRNA from 1 species